GACGAACGCUGGUUUGCGUGCUUAACACAUGCAAGUCGAACGGAAAGGCCCUGCUUUUGUGGGGUGCUCGAGUGGCGAACGGGUGAGUAACACGUGAGUAACCUGCCCUUGACUUUGGGAUAACUUCAGGAAACUGGGGCUAAUACCGGAUAGGAGCUCCUGCUGCAUGGUGGGGGUUGGAAAGUUUCGGCGGUUGGGGAUGGACUCGCGGCUUAUCAGCUUGUUGGUGGGGUAGUGGCUUACCAAGGCUUUGACGGGUAGCCGGCCUGAGAGGGUGACCGGCCACAUUGGGACUGAGAUACGGCCCAGACUCCUACGGGAGGCAGCAGUGGGGAAUAUUGCACAAUGGGCGGAAGCCUGAUGCAGCAACGCCGCGUGCGGGAUGACGGCCUUCGGGUUGUAAACCGCUUUCGCCUGUGACGAAGCGUGAGUGACGGUAAUGGGUAAAGAAGCACCGGCUAACUACGUGCCAGCAGCCGCGGUGAUACGUAGGGUGCGAGCGUUGUCCGGAUUUAUUGGGCGUAAAGGGCUCGUAGGUGGUUGAUCGCGUCGGAAGUGUAAUCUUGGGGCUUAACCCUGAGCGUGCUUUCGAUACGGGUUGACUUGAGGAAGGUAGGGGAGAAUGGAAUUCCUGGUGGAGCGGUGGAAUGCGCAGAUAUCAGGAGGAACACCAGUGGCGAAGGCGGUUCUCUGGGCCUUUCCUGACGCUGAGGAGCGAAAGCGUGGGGAGCGAACAGGCUUAGAUACCCUGGUAGUCCACGCUGUAAACGGUGGGUACUAGGUGUGGGGUCCAUUCCACGGGUUCCGUGCCGUAGCUAACGCUUUAAGUACCCCGCCUGGGGAGUACGGCCGCAAGGCUAAAACUCAAAGGAAUUGACGGGGCCCCGCACAAGCGGCGGAGCAUGCGGAUUAAUUCGAUGCAACGCGUAGAACCUUACCUGGGUUUGACAUGGAUCGGGAGUGCUCAGAGAUGGGUGUGCCUCUUUUGGGGUCGGUUCACAGGUGGUGCAUGCCUGUCGUCAGCUCGUGUCGUGAGAUGUUGGGUUAAGUCCCGCAACGAGCGCAACCCUUGUUCACUGUUGCCAGCACGUUAUGGUGGGGACUCAGUGGAGACCGCCGGGGUCAACUCGGAGGAAGGUGGGGAUGACGUCAAGUCAUCAUGCCCCUUAUGUCCAGGGCUUCACGCAUGCUACAAUGGCUGGUACAGAGAGUGGCGAGCCUGUGAGGGUGAGCGAAUCUCGGAAAGCCGGUCUCAGUUCGGAUUGGGGUCUGCAACUCGACCUCAUGAAGUCGGAGUCGCUAGUAAUCGCAGAUCAGCAACACUGCGGUGAAUACGUUCCCGGGGCU
rnacentral:rRNA from 1 species